AAUGGAGGCAACUCUGAUCCAGCCAUGCCGCGUGAAGGAAGACGGCCCAUGGGUUGUAAACUUCUUUUAUACAGGAAGAACCUUUCCACGUGUGGAAAGCUGACGGUACUGUAAGAAUAAGGAUCGGCUAACUCCGUGCCAGCAGCCGCGGUAAUACGGAGGAUCCAAGCGUUAUCCGGAAUUAUUGGGUUUAAAGGGUCCGCAGGCUGUUUGUUAAGUCAGAGGUGAAAUCCUACCGCUCAACGGUAGAACUGCCUUUGAUACUGGCAAACUUGAGUUAUUGUGAAGUAGUUAGAAUGUGUAGUGUAGCGGUGAAAUGCAUAGAUAUUACACAGAAUACCGAUAGCGAAGGCAGCUUACUGGACCACAACUGACACUGAGGCACGAAAGCGUGGGUAGCGAACAGGAUU
rnacentral:rRNA from 1 species